UACGUAGGGUGCGAGCGUUGUCCGGAAUUAUUGGGCGUAAAGAGCUCGUAGGCGGUGUGUCACGUCGGCCGUGAAAACCUGGGGCUUAACUCUGGGCGUGCGGUCGAUACGGGCAUCACUAGAGUUCGGCAGGGGAGACUGGAAUUCCUGGUGUAGCGGUGAAAUGCGCAGAUAUCAGGAGGAACACCGGUGGCGAAGGCGGUUCUCUGGGAAUGACCUGACGCUGAGGAGCGAAAGUGUGGGGAGCGAACAGG
rnacentral:rRNA from 1 species